GGGGAUGUACCGGUUUCGACAGGGAACAUGCAGCUGGUGAAGCUAUUCGUAUGCAAUGCGUUAAAUGGCAAAAUUAAAUAUAAACGCUGAAAAUAAUUUAGCAUACGCUGCCUAAGGCAGUUGCAGACCUGUAAGCACUCACACUUACAGAAUCUGUAUCGACUUAUGUGAGAAACCUUAUAUACAAAGCUUUGAGUAUAUAGAUGUAUCAUGAAGCUACUCUUUCCUACAGUUUGUUGUUUGACUGUUUUAAAGGGGAAUUUUGACAAGCAACUAUAAUAGUAGAAGAACAGGGAAUUGUUCUUUGGACACGGGUUCAACUCCCGUCAUCUCCAUCU
rfam:Lachnoanaerobaculum sp. ICM7 ctg120007550929, whole genome shotgun sequence.